rnacentral:rRNA from 1 species
UACUGAAGAUGGCGACCGGCGCACGGGUGAGUAACACGUAUCCAACCUGCCGAUAACUCCGGAAUAGCCUUUCGAAAGAAAGAUUAAUACCGGAUAGUAUACGAAUAUCGCAUGAUAUUUUUAUUAAAGAAUUUCGGUUAUCGAUGGGGAUGCGUUCCAUUAGUUUGUUGGCGGGGUAACGGCCCACCAAGACUACGAUGGAUAGGGGUUCUGAGAGGAAGGUCCCCCACAUUGGAACUGAGACACGGUCCAA